rnacentral:rRNA from 1 species
AUUGAACGCUGGCGGCAGGCUUAACACAUGCAAGUCGAGCGGGGAAAGGUAGCUUGCUACCUGACCUAGCGGCGGACGGGUGAGUAAUGCUUAGGAAUCUGCCUAUUAGUGGGGGACAACAUUCCGAAAGGAAUGCUAAUACCGCAUACGCCCUACGGGGUAAAGCAGGGGAUCUUCGGACCUUGCGCUAAUAGAUGAGCCUAAGUCAGAUUAGCGAGUUGGUGGGGUAAAGGCCUACCAAGGCGACGAUCUGUAGCGGGUCUGAGAGUAUGAUCCGCCACAUUGGGACUGAGACACGGCCCCGACUCCUUACGGAGGCAGCAGUGGGGAAUAUUGGACAAUGGGCGAAAGCCUGAUCCAGCCAUGCCGCGUGUGUGAAGAAGGCCUUUUGGUUGUAAAGCACUUUAAGCGAGGAGGAGGCUACUUGGAUUAAUACUCUAGGAUAGUGGACGUUACUCGCAGAAUAAGCACCGGCUAACUCUGUGCCAGCCACCGCCGUAACAC